rnacentral:rRNA from 1 species
CCUGGCGGCGGCUUAUCAUGCAAGUCGAACGCCCCGCAGGGGAGUGGCGGACGGGUGAGUAACGCGUGGGAACAUACCCUUUCCUGCGGAAUAGCUCCGGGAAACUGGAAUUAAUACCGCAUACGCCCUACGGGGGAAAGAUUUAUCGGGGAAGGAUUGGCCCGCGUUGGAUUAGCUAGUUGGUGGGGUAAAGGCCUACCACGGCGACGAUCCAUAGCUGGUCUGAGAGGAUGAUCAGCCACGUUGGGACUGAGACACGGCCCAAACUCCUACGGCAGGCAGCAGUGGGGAAUAUUGGACAAUGGGCGCAAGCCUGAUCCAGCCAUGCCGCGUGAGUGAUGAAUGCCUUAUGGUUGUAAAGCUGUUUCUGUCCAGAAAAUAAUGACGGUAUCCGGAGAAGAAUCCCCGGCUAGCUUCAUGCCGGCUCCCGCGGUUAUACGAAGGGGGCUAGCGUUGUUCGGAAUUUCUGGGCGUAAUGCGCAUUUAUGGGGAUAUUUGGGUGCGGGGUGAAAUCCCAGAGCUCAACUCUGGAACUGCCUUUGAUACUGGGUAUCUUGAGUAUGGAAGAGGUAAGUGGAAUUCCGAGUGUAUAGGUGAAAUUCGUAAAUAUUCGGAGGAACACCAGUGGCUAACGUAGCUUACUGAUCCAUUACUGACCCUGAUGUGCUAAAGCUUGCGGAGAUGACCGGAUUAGAUACCCUGGUAGUCCAUUCCAUACACGAUGAAUGUUAGCCGUCGGGCAUUAUACUGUUCUGUGGCGCAUCUAACGCAUUAAACAUUCCGCCUGGGGAGUACGGUCCCCCUAUUGAGACUCAAAGGAAUUGACGAAACUCCCGCACAUUCAGUGGAGCAUGUGGUUUAAUUCGAGCAACGCGCAGAAUCUUACCUACUCUUGACAUUCUACGUAUGGGCAUUGGAUACUAUGUCCUUCAGAUACGCUGGCCUCCUAACAGGUGCUGCAUGGCUGUCUUCAUCUCUUGUCGUGACAUGUUGCGUUAAGUCCCGCAACAAGUCCACCCUCACCCUUACCUGCCAGCAUUUAUGUGGGCACUCUAUGGUGACUGCCCGUGAUAAACUGCCAGCACAGUGGGGAUGAAGUCAGGGAUCAUGGCCCUUACGGGGGGGCUACCACGUGCUACAAUGGUGGUGACAAUGGAUGGUACGACAGGGAUGUCCAUCUCAUCUUCGAGCUCAUCUCAAUUCCGAUUGCACUCUGCAA